GACGGAGGAUGCAAGUGUUAUCCGGAAUCACUGGGCGUAAAGCGUCUGUAGGUGGUUUAAUAAGUCAACUGUUAAAUCUUGAGGCUCAACCUCAAAAUCGCAGUCGAAACCAUUAGGCUAGAGUAUAGUAGGGGUAAAGGGAAUUUCCAGUGGAGCGGUGAAAUGCGUAGAGAUUGGAAAGAACACCGAUGGCGAAGGCACUUUACUGGGCUAUUACUAACACUCAGAGACGAAAGCUAGGGUAGCAAAUGGG
rnacentral:rRNA from 1 species